rnacentral:lncRNA from 1 species
CUCCCUUCAGCGACCCAGCCUGACACAAAUCUCUGCCACCUGGACAGCUUUUGAGUGUUAGGCAAGCUGAAAGAAAAAUUCUCGUCUCAGCCACAUAAAAGAUCCUUCCUCUGAUAUUCUGCACUCACUGGAGCUCCGCAUGUGGUGGGAAGAAUGGAAGGGCAGAACAGAGAUAAAUCGUGUGCUGGUAUAAGCAAACUUGACUGCUACAUUUCUUCAGUGAGGUACUGCCCUUGA